GACGAACCAUGCAAACGUUAUUCGGAUUCACUGGGCUUAAAGCGUGCGUAGGCGGUCUUGUUAGUCAGGUGUGAAAGCCCUCAGCCUAACUGAGGAAUUGCGCUUGAUACUGCAUGACUAGAGAAUGAUAGAGGUGGGUGGAACUGAUGGUGGAGCGGUGAAAUGCGUUGAUAUCAUCAGGAACACCAGUGGCGAAGGCGACCCACUGGGUCAUUUCUGACGCUGAGGUACGAAAGCUAGGGUAGCGAACAGG
rnacentral:rRNA from 1 species